rnacentral:rRNA from 1 species
UACGUAGGUGACAAGCGUUGUCCGGAUUUACUGGGCGUAAAGAGCGUGUAGGCGGCCAGGUAGGUCGGUUGUGAAAACUGGAGGCUCAACCUUCAGAGGUCGACCGAAACCAUCUGGCUAGAGUCCGGGAGAGGAGAGUGGAAUUCCUGGUGUAGCGGUGAAAUGCGCAGAUAUCAGGAAGAACACCCGUGGCGAAAGCGGCUCUCUGGAACGGUACUGACGCUGAGACGCGAAAGCGUGGGGAGCGAACAGG